UGAGACCUGCUGUCUCAGGGAGCAGUUCCCUCCCCUCUGCAGUGUGUGGGCAAGUGGGACCCCUGGUUUGGUACAUAAAGGGAUGCACGUCCAGCUCCCACCACACAGCCCCACACAGCCCCCAGCAGCACUCCCCAGGUCGCAGAGCCGGUGCACACGCGUGUGCCGGGGCAGCCACGGCGGGGUUUUCUCCCCCUGACACCGGGAGGGAGAGGAGCUGGAGGAGGAUGCCAGAGCAGCUGAGUUCUUCCAUCCCUGAGCACAAGCGCUACGGAGGAUUAGCCAUCUCCCGCGGUGCCUGUUCUCCCGCCCACCUCCCUCAGCAGCGAGGAGAUGACAGCUGAGGGAAGAGAGCAGAGCACUCGAGGCGUGCAGGGGAGAGAUGGCUGAAGACAGACCGACCUUUCUGCAGCAGCAGCGCAGCAGGACGUGUGUUGGUAGUUCGAUCAGAAGGGAAAGGCACGAAGGUUCACAGACCCUCAGAAGAACCACCAUAGCCCGCUGACCUCGGGGAGGCUCUGCCUUGUCCUGCAGCUCCUGCUGGUGAAGGUUCCAUGCCGGAGAUCUGUGGGACAUGAUCGCCCUCUAAAGGGAAAAGCUGAGAAAACGUGAUUAAUUCCCACACAGGCGAAGCUGCAGAGAAUUAGAAGAGCGUUGGCAUGGGCAAGGCAGUGACCGUCUCUCUUCAUCCAGAGUCUUUGUUCCGACUCCAAGAUAUCCUUGGAAACAUUAUCCGUGCACUACAGCCAUGAAUAAUUGCAGCCAAUCAACUCCACACUUAGCUCAUGCCGUUCUCCUGAGCUUUUAAUUGUUGAGUCCAUUAGUUACUUGGUACCUGGCAGAGCUUAUCCAUUUAUAGGCACACACAGACUGUGGGCUGAGCAGCUUUCACCCGAAAAUCAAGACGGUGGCAAAUCCCUCAGCGCAUCCAAGUCUACGUCUUCUCUCCCGGGAUCUGAACUCUGCACAAGGGGGGAUUUUAGUUGUUUUGUUUUUAAAAACUUACGUCCCUUGGGGACUUAAAUGGCUAAUUCUAGUUGUGAUGGGUCAUAUUUGCUUAUUUGGGAAGCUAAAAGCAGCCAGGCAGAUUGCCAACCCCGUCUUCACAGAGCAAAGGCCGCUGCAACAAGGGCUGAGUUAAUUAUUGCUGUUCUGUAUCAUCAUCUGCCUUCCUACCAGGCCAAACACUCGUGCCACAGGCUCCUGUGGGGCAGGAAGACACAGAAUCUCUUUUGUCCUCAAGCCAGAGCAUAGGACUCACCGAAAGCUGCUUCCCCCAGGUCCUGCCCAUCCGACCAGGGCAGCUUUUGAGGCUUUCUGCAGCUAUCAGAGAGCACAGAGGGCUGGGGAACACCUCACAGUCAGCUGCUUAAUUUGGAAGCAACUUAUUUUUAGCACCACCUUGGUAUCUGUUUACAGCCUUCUUGGACCACUUAAAAAAAAGAGUUCCUUUUGCAGCCCGUUGGCUUUUUAAGAGAGAUUUAAGAAACAACAUGGGCCAUUCUGGAGAGUAAAGGACUUGUGAGUUGGGUUAAAUCUGUGCUCUGGAAUAAAUUAAAAAAAAAAAAAAAUCAGGUUCUAAAAUAGGAGCAAGGCCAGGAGGAUCCAGGCACUAAAAAUAAACAUGAAGUCACGCUGUCUUUUCCUGGGAACUCGACUGCCUUGCCUGGAGAAGGGGCUCCCAGAGCAGGCAGCAGCAUGGAACCAUCUCUGUGCGGGUGGGGAGGUCCUGCCACAGGUUGCCCAGAGAAGCUGUGGCUGCCCCAACCCUGGAAGUGUCCAAGGCCAGGUUGGAUGGGGAUUGGAGCAACCUGGGCUAGUGGAAGGUGUCCCUACCCGUGGCAGGGGCGAUGGAUCUUUGAGGUCCCUUCUAACCCAAACCAUUCUCUGAUUCUGUGAUCUCCCUGUUGUCAGAGGGGAUCCAGGAGCAGAGAGACAGCCCCUCAGCUCUCAGACAUUUCAGAGGUGACUCUGGGCUUGUCACCUGUACUCAGAUUUUGCUGCUUUCAGACUGUAGUUUGACUGCUUUCCAUUCCCAAUCACUGGAGCUUUUCUCCACAAGGGUGGAUGUACCUCUGUGGCAAGAAAGUGAUAUUGGCAGUUCUUAUUUUUCCUCCCUUUGGUUAUGUUCACACUGUGUUAUUGUUAAUACAGGCUUCAUAUGUAAUGUAAAUAGGAUCGUAUAGAGUUUCACAUGGAAGUUAUAAUUUCAUUUAUAGUUUCAUAUGUAAGUCAGACAGGAUCCUGUGGGUUUCGUGACAGGUUUUCACAGAGAAGGACAAUCACAGCACAUCCUGGAAGCGUCGCUUAUUCAAAGCACGGCACAUACAUUUACUAACUAAUCUCUGACUAAUCCCCGAUCUCUGGCUAAUUAGCCCCUUCCUCCACGAGCUAAUGCUUAUUGAGCCUUUUGAAGCAUUUAGAGCGCUAAGCACAAUCACGCACAUCUCCUUAGCGUGCCGGGGACGUGAAGAAUUAAUAAAUAAUUAAUAAAUGCCGUUAACGAGCGGGAUGGGGGGGGUCGAUUGAUCCCGGGGGAGCGGGACUACAUUUCCCAUCAGCCCUCGCGCCCCGAGACGGCGGCUGGACUACACCUCCCAUGAGCCCCCGCGCGCGGCCCCGCCCUCCCCGCGGUGCACGGGAACAGCAUGGCGGCGCAGCUGCGUGCGAGCCUGGCACGAUGUCAGGAAAGGAUUAAAACACUCCUCUGGCUGGGGACCUGAUUUAUCUACUGGACUAACAGUACAGCUGCACAAUGGAGGAAACCGUCCUGCAGAGUCCUGGGGCUGCUGUUGCCCAAACACAGCUUUGGCAAGAGGGCAGCUGCUAAGCUGGGCUUAAGCUGCUCUAGAAGCAACAGAAUAAAGAUUGUUUUGGACUGAGUGUCACAGAUGGCCACUGAUAAGUGACUUGUGUAACCACAGGCUCCUCCUCGCUGCUCAGGGGUUGCUGCAACCACACCAUAGGAUCUGACCUACAGUUGGCUGGACGAAAAAGCGAUUCCCUGGUUUCUUCUGUUCCAGAAUAAAAUAAAUUAUGGGAAAUCUUGUGAGU